GUCCUUCAACUGUAGAUCAUUUAUCAUUAAACAGAUUUGAGAUAUCUAUUGUCGUUUAAGAGAUAUUGCAGUUUGAAGUUUUGCGAACGGAGGCAUGUAUUUCUGAAUCAACAAGAGCUUACCACUUAAAAAGUUUUAGAAAUUGAAGAGGUUAACAUAGUUAUAUGUUUAACAAAAUACCAAAAACAUUCCAUGGAAAAAAACACCAAAAAUUCAAUUUGAAAUUUUCAUGUUUUGCAUUGACUUUGUAAGUUUCAUAACUUCUAUUUAUAUAGUUGAUAUUGCAUCAUUAUUU
rnacentral:lncRNA from 1 species